AGUUUUCUGUAUUCGAGCUGAGAUUUCAUCGGAGAUCAACUGGUUGGGACUGAGAAACUCCCCAUAUAAGUGAAGUG
rnacentral:pre_miRNA from 1 species